UUUUUCUUGGUGCCAAAGUAGGGA
rnacentral:piRNA from 1 species